UACGGGAGGCAGCAGUGGGGAAUAUUGCACAAUGGGCGCAAGCCUGAUGCAGCCAUGCCGCGUGUAUGAAGAAGGCCUUCGGGUUGUAAAGUACUUUCAGUCGUGAGGAAGGUGUUAAGGUUAAUAACCUUAGCAAUUGACGUUAGCGACAGAAGAAGCACCGGCUAACUCCGUGCCAGCAGCCGCGGUAAUACGGAGGGUGCGAGCGUUAAUCGGAAUUACUGGGCGUAAAGGGCACGCAGGCGGUUAAUUAAGUUGGAUGUGAAAUCCCCGGGCUUAACCUGGGAAUGGCAUUCAAGACUGGUUAGCUAGAGUCUUGUAGAGGGGGUAGAAUUCCAUGUGUAGCGGUGAAAUGCGUAGAGAUGUGGAGGAAUACCGGUGGCGAAAGGCGGCCCCCUGGACAAAAGGACUGACGCUCAUGUGCGAAAAGCGUGGGGGAGCAAAACAGGGAUUAGAUACC
rnacentral:rRNA from 1 species